GGCCCCGCCCACGUCAUGGCGCCCGAGGAGAAUGCGGGGACCGAACUCUUGCUGCAGAGUUUCGAGCGCCGCUUCCUGGCGGCGCGCACGCUGCGCUCCUUCCCCUGGCAGGGGGGCGGCGGGCGAGCGGAGAGGCCCGCGGGGCUCGCGGGAGUCCAGGGGCAGACGGGAUGGGUCUCCGUGCUGAAACCCCCGGCGCUCCUGCCACAGCUUAGAAGCAAAGUUAAGAGACUCAUCAGAUUCUGAGCUGCUGCGGGAUAUUUUGCAGAAGACGUGCUGUAUUGCCCAGAAGCCAUCGUGUCGCUGGUCGGGAUCCUGCGGAGGCUGGCUGCCUGCUGGGAGCACCAGCAGUCUCCUGAGGUCUACGUGGCCUUUACCGUCCACAACCCAGAGACGUGCCAGCUGUUCACCACCGAGCUAGGCCGGGCUGGGAUCAUAUGGGAAGCGGAAGCUCAUCAUGACCAGAAACUGUUUCCCUAUGGAGAGCACUUGGAGAUGGCAAUGCUGAACCUCACACUGUAGGACUCACACACGACUCCAACGGGAUUGUGAGAAUCAAGUCAAUCUCAUGGGAAGAAUUUUUAUAUGGGAAAGCGGAUAAAACUUUCAUUGUACUGGAAUGUUUGGAGAAUGUUAAAUUCCAAAUCAGAAACCACAAACUGCCCUCUAAUAAGACAUCGGCUAUCUAAGCGUGUGGGUGCCCCCUUUCUGCCAGCAGUUCUGGUUCUUACGAAAAUCACCAUAUAUCAGACAUGAAAAUUCUGGCUUUGUGCAGAUAAAAAAGUGUGUAUCAAGUAUGACGUUCCCCCAAUGUGGACACACUUGGUUCCUCAGAAAGCCAAGCCCACUGCAGCUGCCACAUCCCUGGACACACUCGGUUCCUCACAAAGCCAAGCCCGCUGCAGCUGUCACAUCCCUGGACACACUCGGUUCCUCACAAAGCCAAGCCCACUGCAGCUGCCACAUCCCUGAGCCUAUGGUGCAGCAGGUGCUUUUUUCAAGACAGGGAUCAAAGUGUUAGGAACACGGCAGAAAGGUGACACCUGGAGACCAAAUGCAGGAUGAGGAGUACUGCAGAGGUCACAGGGAAGUCAGAGAACAGUAAUACGCUAACAGGGGCACGGGGCAUGAAGAACAAAAGACAGGAAGCGUUUCAGAGACUCCAAAGAAGAAAUCAGGGCCAACCACAGCUUCCCGGGUCAUUCACCAGGUGGCACCACUGCCGUCAUUUCAGCUUCUGGCCACUGGGAGGCGCUGCUCGAAAGGGUUUGCCCUGACACUCCAAGAAGCUGCGGGAAGGACAGCAGGGGCCCUGGGGUUUUAGCCUCUGGCCCAGGAGUUAUGUGUCCAUAACCAAAGGGAGCACAGUCUGCACCCAGCUCUCAUCCCAUCAGAGCUGCUGCGACUCCUGCAGGUUCUUCCGGAACUGGUUUAGCUUGCCUGCAGGAUCAGGAAAGUUUGAGAAAAGCAUCUGCAAAAUACUAAAGAGCAGAGCUUACCUCAUUGCCUGUCCCCACCCCAUCCCAGGUCACCACCUGGCUGACCCCAGGUCCCCGACCCAACAACAACCCCUCCCAAGUCCCUAACUCCCUCACUUGGACUUGAGACCCUUCACACCCCAGCAGCGCUCCGCCUCCCACUUGACAUCAUGCUUUCUGGAAACUUCCCCGUAUGUCCCACUUUCCCACACUUGGUGCCCUGGAGCACCUUCCGGCCUCUACAUGCUGUACGUUCCCCUGUGAGCACCCUCCUCUCGGCCUCUGGCCAACACAGUCCCACCCAUCUGUGGGUAACAAGGGGGAGUGGGUGUUCUUUUCAGCCUUGCUAAACUCUCUGAAUCAAGGAUCACAAACUACAGCCUGCAGGCCAAAUCCAGCCCACAGCCUGUGUUUGUAAAUAAAGCUUUAUUGGAAGAAAGCCACACCCCU
ensembl:lncRNA FAM86DP family with sequence similarity 86 member D, pseudogene